UGUAGCUCAGUGGUAGAGCUUGUGCUUAGCAUGCACUGGGCUGUGGGUUCAAUCCCCCCA
rnacentral:tRNA from 1 species